UCAAGCAGGACAGUGACACGCUUGAGCCAGGACGGGAGUGAGCGCUCCAUCAGGAUGACAGGAGAUGGAUUGACAUGGUGAGACACUCGAGGUUGUUGGGCACAGAGGCAGGGUCAGCCCCUUGUCACACGGGGAUGCUGCUCCGUUUGUUCUUUCUCUUAUUAAAGCCAGACACACACAGCGAUGGGAAGCAGACAACGGCACAAUUGUGGCGACUCUCCCUUUGAGAGGACACCUGGAAGGAACUUCCAGCGCUCCCCAGUAAGAGUAAGAUCUCCCCAACCCACAUCCACCACUGUUCACAGAAAGCAGGAAUGUGACACGAUCAGGCUAGGAUGGCAGUGACCGCUCCAUGGAAACGACGGAACACGGAAAGCCUCGACAGGAACACACCUAGGGAUGAGACCAGACCACGGCACACUGCUGGCCUCUCUCGCUUUGAGAGCUCAGCCAGAAAGGAUGCCAGCACUCUCCAGGACAGAUAAGACAGCCCCAAGCCAUUCCCCACUAUGGUGUCACGCUCAGACCAGGAGUGCAGUGACCGCUCACUUAGGAUGAUGGAACAGAUAUGGCAUCGCCAGAUUCACACAGCGAUGGGACAAAACCACAGCACACUCCUGGCCACUCUCCCCAUGAGAACUCAGCUGGAAGGAAGAGCUGCCAACACUCUACCUGACAGGUAAGAUCGCCCCAAGCUACACCCCCGAUGGUCCACAGCAAGCAGGAAGCUGACAGAAUGGGGGCAGGACGGCAGUGAAUGCUGCCUCAGGAAGACGGAACACAGACAGGCUCGGUGAGUCACUAGACACUCUUGAGCAGAGAGGCAGGGGCUGCCCAUGCUCACAGGGAGGUGCUGCUUUGUUUUGUGCUUCUUCUCUUUCAGCCAGACACACACUGGAUUGCCUCCAGACCACGGCACAAGCCUGGCCUCUCUGCCCUUGAGAAGUCAGCUGUUAGGAACUUGCAGCGCUCUCUAGGACAGUUCAGAUCUCCCCAACCAAAGCCCAGCAGGCUGGCCAUUGCUGCUCUGUUUGGUGCUUUUCCUCUUUCAGCCAGAAACGGCACAAUCCUGGCGUCUCUGCCCUCGAGCACUCAUCGACGAGGAAGAGCUGCCAACGCUCCCUAGGACAAUUAAGAUCGCUCCAACCCACACCCACCAGCCUCUAACAGCAAGCAGGACGGUGACACGCUCGGGCCAGGAGGGCAGUGACCGCUCCAUGAGGACGAUGGCACAGGGACAGCCUCGCCAGAAUCACAUGGCGAUUGGACCAGACCACGGUACAACCUUGACUGCUCUCCCCUUGAGAAGUCAUCUUUGAGGAAGAGCUGCCAGUGCUCUCUAGGACAGGAAAGAUUUCCACAACCCACACCCACCAGGCUCUAACUGCAAGAAGGACAGUGACAUGAUUGGGGUAGGACGGGAGUGACCACUCCAUCAGGACGAUGGGACACGGACAGCCUUGGUGAGUUGCUAGAUACUCUUGAGCAGAGAGA